UCACUACAGAGUGAGACAACCCUAGCUCUCUAGAAGUUAUUUCUAAACAACCCAGCGGGGUGGAGCGGGGAGAGCAAGGCAAGCAGGAGUUACCUGGUUGAUGGAAAACACUGCUAGCCUGGGUAUGAGCACUUGAAGGGUGACUUGCAGCAGCGAGGUGCUCAGGCCCGCCAGGAUGGCCCAGGUAGGUGUGUGAGGUGGUGUCCUUCCUGACCACCACGAGGGCGCAGAUCACCACCUCGAUGCCGGUGAAAAAGCCGAGAAGGAUGCCCUUGAGUGGGUCCAUGGGGGCCGAGGCCAGGCUCAAGUGGAGGACCAAGAGGGUAACCACAGCCAUUGUGAGUUAAUGAGUGCAAUAUCCAUUUCCUGUCCAGAAGACAGAAUUUCGCAACACUCCUACCUAUCUUGGCUUUUCCUUUCUAUUUGCUCUUCUUUGAAGUUCCUUGAACCUUGACAAAAUACUUUUAAAAAUAAUUCGAGAAAGGAAGAAUUUAUUUUGGCUCACAGUUAAAGAAUGUGCAAGGUAUGGCAUUGAGAAUGGGAAGCAGCUGGUCACACGAUAUCCACAGUUGGGAAGCAGAGAAAUAUGAAGGCUUUUCUCUGCACCUUGGUGGUGGCUCUGUUUAGAUGUUCUGUUUAAGGCCGAGCACCCAGUCUCUCAUUUUCAGCACCUGAUGAGUUAUGCAUCUCGGCAAUGACUGCCUUCCACCGCAAAAAGAUACUUCUCUGAUCAAGGUUGAGAGCAGCCCAGGUUGAUGGGCAGAAACACAAAUACUUAGAAGGCAAUUUGCCACAGAAUCUUCGUGAAUGAAUUCACGAGCUAAACAAAACCAGAAAAUGGACCUACAAAGACAUUGAACCUGUCUUGACCUCAAAGUUCUCAACUUUUAGAACUGUGAAUAAAGAAAUGUUUCCUGUUUCAGCCUUCUGGCUGGAGCCAAUGAAGACGCAGCCACUAGAGUUUUGUAAUGUUCAACUGGGUAGAGCAGUUGACAGGAUGAAGUUGCUUUAUUGCUAUCCAUGAUUGCAUGGAUGACAAUACAUUGUUGUGGUAACUUUGGAUAAUAAAUACUGUACAGAAAGCCAGAAAGGAUUCAAACAUUCUGUGUCUUCUGGAGCCAGGUAUUAUGAAAAGACAAUUUGGUGUAUGUUCUCCCAGCAGGGUGCAAGACUGAGCACCAGAUUUUCUUAGAAGAUGCACACACACACACACACACACACACACACACACACACACACACUCCACAGGAUUUAGUGCACAGACGUUGAUUUCAUUCCUUACCAAGUACCAAGUGUGAGUAUUUAUCAUCUUAGAGCCAAUGGCUUUGAGACACCGCAACGUCAUUCCUCGGAAGACCUACACACGUCAUGAAAAGAAUACAAGUUUGUUCCUCAGAUGCACUUGCUGUUUGUAAAGUUCUAAAAAUGUGAAAAUCUGGAUUACACCCUGUGCUUCAGGAAUGAGAAAGAGGGUCCUGAAAGCACAGUGUGAAUGAGCUUCUCACUUAUUUGGCAGUAGGAGUGGUUCAUGCUCUCCACUACAACUUUCUUGACACUUCCAACACUGGCUCAGUUACGUAACGCAGGAAACAUAACAAUGCCCGAAACGCUCCUACUGCUCUCACUAUCCGUGUUUUCUCCACUGACAUCAUAUAGAUUAUGAGAGAUAUUCAUCAAUAUUUUACUAGAUGAUAAAGAUGAGGCUGAGAGAGAAAGGACAACAAAGGUCAACUACUGGAAUUUGAAUUUACUCUGACUAGAUUCAUCGAAUACUUGAAGGUUCCAAAAGAAUUCUCACCUGUGUUCUACACCACACAGUGUCUGUAAAUUCCAGGACCCAAAGUGGAAAACAUCAUUCUCGAAAAGUGUUGGUCCAGGAUCACUUGACAUAGAUAAGGCUGUAACCAACAGCAAGGUGACUGAAUUCAAGAAAUGCAGUUUUAUAAAAGGUAAUUGCACUGUCCUGUUAACACUUUUAUGUUAUUUGUGAUUAAUGAAAUGGAGGGGGCCAAUCAUUACAAUUAUAGCCAGAAGAAACCUCAUAUUCUUAGGUUGUGGCAAGCAGCACAACUAUAUAAAAAGAAUAUGAGGAGUUGGGGAGUGGGCUCGGUGAGUCAAAGCACUUGAUAUACAAACAUGAAGAUUUGAUUUUGAGCCCUCAGUACCCAAGCUAGACACAGUAAUAUGCACACACAGUACUAGCUCUCCUACUGUGAGAUGGGAGAGAGGGGCAGGAAAAAGCUCACAGACUAGCUAGUCUGGCAUACACAGUUGCAAAUACGAGACCCUGUCUGAAACAAGGUAGUAAGUAAAAACUGACAUUCAAGGUUGCCCUUUGACCUCCACAUUUUGGCUAAUGC